rnacentral:rRNA from 1 species
GAUGAACGCUAGCUACAGGCUUAACACAUGCAAGUCGAGGGGAAACGAUAGAGAAAGCUUGCUUUUUCUAGGCGUCGACCGGCGCACGGGUGAGUAACGCGUAUCCAACCUGCCCAUCACUUGGGGAUAACCUUGCGAAAGUAAGACUAAUACCCAAUGACGUCUCUAGAAGACAUCUGAAAGAGAUUAAAGAUUUAUCGGUGAUGGAUGGGGAUGCGUCUGAUUAGCUUGUUGGCGGGGUAACGGCCCACCAAGGCGACGAUCAGUAGGGGUUCUGAGAGGAAGGUUCCCCACAUUGGAACUGAGACACGGUCCAAACUCCUACGGGAGGCAGCAGUGAGGAAUAUUGGUCAAUGGACGAGAGUCUGAACCAGCCAAGUAGCGUGCAGGAUGACGGCUCUAUGGGUUGUAAACUGCUUUUAUAAGGGAAUAAAGUGAGUCUCGUGAGACUUUUUGCAUGUACCUUAUGAAUAAGGACCGGCUAAUUCCGUGCCAGCCGCCGCGGUAA